UGCCGCUGCCCUUACGGGCGUUUCCUCCCUAGACUCAGACCGCGCUGCCCUCCCGCAGUGCGGUUUUUUUUCGCGCCG
rnacentral:sRNA from 1 species